rnacentral:rRNA from 1 species
UACGUAGGGCGCAAGCGUUAUCCGGAAUUAUUGGGCGUAAAGAGCUCGUAGGCGGCUUGUCGCGUCGAAUGUGAAAUCUCGGGGCUCAACUCCGAGCUUGCAUUCGAUACGGGCAGGCUAGAGUUCGGUAGGGGAGACUGGAAUUCCUGGUGUAGCGGUGAAAUGCGCAGAUAUCAGGAGGAACACCGGUGGCGAAGGCGGGUCUCUGGGCCGAUACUGACGCUGAGGAGCGAAAGCGUGGGGAGCGAACAGG